rnacentral:lncRNA from 1 species
GUGUAAACUCUAGCGGGGCCGAAGCAAACAUUGGCUUAACGGCAGCAGCUGCCAGCCUGUGCCUAGGAGUGUGGCGACUAGCGCGGCGGCAAGCAGACCGGCACCAUGGCCUCAUCUCAGGGGAAAAACGAGCUGAAAUUCGCCGACUGGAUGGCAACUCUGCCUGAGAGCAUCCACAGCAUCCCCCUCACCAAUUUAGCCAUCCCAGGUAGGUGCCCACUGCCCCUGCCUCGCCCUGCUUCAUUUUACACCCAGUGCUAACUUCGCCUGUGUCUGCGGGAAGGAUGCUCAUCCAGGGGGUGGGUCCCCGGGUUUUCCAAAUCUUGGAAGACCCUGGCACGGGGUGUCAAGGUGACUGCUUCCCCUGGGCUUCAGAAGCAGACUGUGUCCGGAGGGCUGGGGCAGAGGAGAAGGUGGUUCCAGGAUCGCUCCCUGAGACCUUUUUCUACGGUUUUCCUUGAAGAUUCUGGCGGGGGCUGGGGAGUAGGCAGGUCAGGUUCCUUAGUCUGUGGCUCCGUGGUGCGCUCGCUAUGGGAGGGAGCUGGCUAUCUUAAGAGUUCGGCUCCAGAACGUCACUGAGACCAUCGCUGGCAUGGACUUGGGAGAAUUUGAUAGCUUUGCUGUUAGAAUCUACUGGAAUCAUUAAUAUUCGUCCCCAGUCUCCUUUAAAGAGACAAAGCGCUUUCUGAAGAGUGAUGAAAGUUCGGGAUCUGUGGUGGCAGCAGGAUCACUGUCCUUGACAAAGAGCUGAAUGGGGCAAGAAGCUGAAAGCAAGCCUUUCCUCAUUGGCUUGGAUGGGGAGCGAGUCAGUCUGGUCAAAGAGCUGCUUAAGGCAGAGCUCCUUGGGUCGAGAAAGCAGACCCUUGCACAUUUGCGGCUCUAGACAGAAGCCAGGCAGUGAGACCGUGUGAGGCACAGUUUAGAGAUGGGAAUGAUGAACAGAUGGCCCUGGAAAAGGUGACCUAGCAGGUAGUCCGGAGGAAAGCAAGCAGGGUUUAGAAGGGUAGCAUCAAGAUGUGUUUGUAUGGUGUGCAUGGCUUGGACCAGAGCACUGGCCAGGUUUCCAGGUCAGAGCACACAGUAGUCCCUAACUCAGGUAUCUAAGAGAGAAGAUUGUUUCUGGGCAGUUUGUGAGUGCAGCAGCUGGAGAAAUGCUUACAUUUCUCUAGCAAUUUGGCUGAAAGUGUGCACACCCAUUCUUACCAGACUAGGCUGGAGGGCAAAUUACUCGUAGAUAAUCAACCCCUGCCCGGAGUGUAGCUGAGUUUUUUAAGUUCAACCUUCUGGUCUACUUCCUCUGAUCUGCUCUAUCUACGCCUGCCCCUGCCCACCAACCCCUUCACCCCACCCCAGGGGAGAAAACAUGAUGGAGUUUAGAGGAAAAGAGUCGAAGUGAGACUUAAGAAAUACGAAGACAAGGAAGAAAUAAAACAGUUUUCUGGGGGAAAAAAACCCCAGGGUCCAAUCAACAAGCAUUGGAACUAACCAGUAACAACUCAGUUGUAGUGGAUGUUUAGUGGCAAGGACAGGCACAGGUUGUUGAAAUCUCCGUCCUCAGAAAAAGGUUGUCCCUGCUUUUGCCCUUUCUCAACAGAUGACUUUCUGGGACCUAGAUAUCUCUGCCAGAGCACAACCCAGUUUCUUUCUGUACAUAUUUUAUACCCAUGAGUCUGGGCAUUGCUCUUCUGAAGGAGUAGAAAGCACACAACUUUGCUAGUGAAAACUCCACUCUCCCUUCCACAGGCAACCUCUUCCUCCUUUAGUUUUUAUUUGGUUUCUUGUUUUCAUGUGGUUGACCAGCUUCCUGAACUGAGCUGGUAAUAAGUUCAAGGACUGAGGUGCUAGGUCUCUGUGAAGGUAAUCUCUAGAGAUUCAAGGGGGUUAAACGCCUGAGGUAGCAUCCCAGCUCUGAGGGAUGGCGUGAUGCCAUGUUUAAAGCUUACCAUAAUGUCUGUAACACUUCACUUUCUCAAAGCCAACUUGUGCAUGCUAGGUCACAUCCUCCCCAAAGCAGGCAGUGCGAGAAUUCCCAUUUCUAGUUCACGGACUAAAACCAAGCAACGUGCCCCUCAGAACAAAACAAAGACAAGACCCAGAAACUCAGUGCAAGCAAAUGACCUAAAAUCAGUUUAGUGAUCUGAUCCUUAAAAGAGAUUUUAUGGAAUAUUUCCUAGGAAUUCGGGGGCUUUGAGAUUUAUGUGAGCAUAACUCAGAAGCAACAAGUUCUUACCAAAGUAUGGAGUGAGAUAUCUGUAGACAUAGGGUAAUUUUCCUUCUCUCUUUCAUGGGACUAAGUAAAACACUGAGGUCAGAGGCUUCAAUUUUCUGAUGGUCUUCUGGGAGUGACAUAAAAAUGACGUAUUUGGAUGAUAUGGACUUUCCCUGUAUUUCCAAAAAUGUCCUAUAAAGCCUUGUAAUUUUACCCCAAUACUUCCAAGAAACAUACACACACACUCACACAAACACACACACACACACAAUCAAAAGUCACACAGACACAUACACAUUCACACGUAGAUACACACAGACAUACACAAGCACACAAAGGCAGACACAUAUGCAUACAUACAGACACGACACACAGAAACACAGAUACACACACACACACACACACACACACACACACACACACUCACCAAAUAUAUGUUCCUGAAAACCCAUAUGGUUUUGAAAAAUAGGUUUAGCAAAAUCCUUCUUUAUAAAACUAGGAUUAAAGUACCCAAGGAGCUAAAGGGAUCUGCAACCCUAUAGGUGGAACAACAAUAUGUACUAACCAGUACCCCCCAGAGCUCUUGUCUCUAACUGCAUAUGUAUGGCCUAGUCGGUCAUCAGUGGAAAGAGAGGCCCAUCGGUCUUGCAAACUUUAUAUGCCUCAGUACAGGGGAACGCCAGGGCCAAGAAGUGAGAGCAGGGGGGGGGGGAGGAGAGGGGGGCUAGGGCAUGGGGGGACUUUUGGGAUAGCAUUGGAAAUAUAAAUGAAGAAAAUACCUAAUAAAAAUAAAUAAAUAAAAGAAAAUUACAGUC